rnacentral:rRNA from 1 species
GACGAACGCUGGCGGCGUGCUUAACACAUGCAAGUCAAACGGAAAGGCCCUGCUUUUGUGGGGUGCUCGAGUGGCGAACGGGUGAGUAACACGUGAGUAACCUGCCCUUGACUUUGGGAUAACUUCAGGAAACUGGGGCUAAUACCGGAUAGGAGCUCCUGCUGCAUGGUGGGGGUUGGAAAGUUUCGGCGGUUGGGGAUGGACUCGCGGCUUAUCAGCUUGUUGGUGGGGUAGUGGCUUACCAAGGCUUUGACGGGUAGCCGGCCUGAGAGGGUGACCGGCCACAGUGGGACUGAGAUACGGCCCAGACUCCGACGGGAGGCAGCAGUGGGGAAUAUUGCACAAUGGGCGGAAGCCUGAUGCAGCAACGCCGCGUGCGGGAUGACGGCCUUCGGGUUGUAAACCGAUUUCGCCUGUGACGAAGCGUGAGUGACGGUAAUGGGUAAAGAAGCACCGGCUAACUACGUG